rnacentral:lncRNA from 10 species
CUGAUCUGUCUGUGCUGUGCUCCAAUAGGGAGAGCUGAAGGACCUGACCCAGAAGGUAGAGCUGCUGGAGAAGUUUCGGGACAACUGUUUGGCAAUUUUGGAGAGCAAGGGCCUUGAUCCAGCUUUAGGCAGUGAGACCCUGGCAUCACGACAAGAAUCCACUACUGAUCACAUGGACUCUAUGGUGAGGGCAUGGGUGUGAAAGGGCGCAAGGGCUGAGUGACUGUGGGGCUCUGUAAAUCUAAGAAGGUCUCUGCUAUAUAUUCCAUAAACUCCAAGAAACAGCCUUUGAUUAUCUGUGAUGCUAGAAAAGAGAAAUGGGAUGUGUACUCAAAAUAGCAUAUUUUACUUGAAAGGUAGCUUUGUGCUUACAAAUAUAAGUGAGUCUGAAUUGAAAAUUUAAAACACAUAAUAGGUAAACCUGUAGAGAGAGCUUUCUCGUUCUUCUGUUCUAUACUUUAUCAAAUUUCUCUCCUGACUCCUUUGUUGAGAACUGUGUGGAAAGGAUGUUAGCCAUCAUCUAAUGCAAGUCUGGUUUUAUAUGAAGAUUUGUUUACUACAUUGUGCUUUCCUCUUAGUUGCUGUUAGAAACUUUGCAAGAGGAGCUGAAGCUUUUUAACGAAACAGCCA